rnacentral:pre_miRNA from 1 species
UCAGUAACAAGGAUUCAUCCUCGUUUCUGGCAAAUAACGGGGAGAAUCUUUGUCACUAAGU